GGGGUGUGCUCAGAGCAGGGUCCUGAAGAAUGGCUCCUCUGUUUAUAACACACCCAGUAGGAAUCUGGGGUCACUGCGAGGAAAGGAAAAAAAACUUGUAGCCUCCCUAUGAAUAAAUUCCCUACAUGU